GCGCUGGCGUCAAGUUGUGCUCUGCAACCCAAGAGCCAGGAUUUCCACUCCCCACUUGGCAGUGGUCUCUGGAAGAAUUUUCCUAAAGGCUCCACCCAAAAGAAACCAUGAGUUGGCCAGCUCCUCGUUUGCAUUUGGUUUGCAUAGUACCAACGAUCACUAAUCUCAAAGUAUAUUUUCCUAAAAACGUGAAUCGUGUUUUCCUCCACUGCCCUCAUUUCUUCUUUCUUUCUCGACAGACUAUGAAGAUUAACACCUGGUCCUCAGCCUCUCAAGUAAAACCAUG
rnacentral:lncRNA from 1 species